AACGAACGCUGGCGGCAUGCCUAACACAUGCAAGUCGAACGAGACCUUCGGGUCUAGUGGCGCACGGGUGCGUAACGCGUGGGAACCUGCCCUUAGGUUCGGAAUAACUCCCCGAAAGGGGUGCUAAUACCGGAUAAUGUCUUCGGACCAAAGAUUUAUCGCCUUUGGAUGGGCCCGCGUUGGAUUAGCUAGUUGGUAGGGUAAAAGCCUACCAAGGCGACGAUCCAUAGCUGGUCUGAGAGGAUGAUCAGCCACACUGGGACUGAGACACGGCCCAGACUCCUACGGGAGGCAGCAGUGGGGAAUAUUGGACAACGGGGGAAAGGCUGAACCAGCAAUGCUGCGUGAGUGAUGAUGUUCUUAGGGUUGUAAAGCUCUUUUACCCGGGAUGGUAAUGACAGUACCGGGAGAAUAAGCACCGGCUAACUCCGUG
rnacentral:rRNA from 1 species